ACGCUGGCGACAUGCCUAACACAUGCAAGUCGAACGAGACCUUCGGGUCUAGUGGCGCACGGGUGCGUAACACGUGGGAAUUUGCCUCGGGGUAUGGAAUAACUCAGGGAAACUUGAGCUAAUACCAUAUAAUGUCUUCGGACCAAAGAUUUAUCGCCCUGAGAUAAGCCCGCGUAGGAUUAGCUAGUUGGUGGGGUAAAGGCUCACCAAGGCGACGAUCCUUAGCUGGUCUGAGAGGAUGAUCAGCCACACUGGGACUGAGACACGGCCCAGACUCCUACGGGAGGCAGCAGUGGGGGAAUAUUGGACAAUGGGCGAAAGCCUGAUCCAGCAAUGCCGCGUGAGUGAUGAAGGCCUUCGGGUUGUAAAGCUCUUUUACUCGGGACGAUAAUGACGGUACCGAGAGAAUAAGCCCCGGCUAACUCCGUG
rnacentral:rRNA from 1 species